AUUGAACGCUGGCGGCAUGCCUUACACAUGCAAGUCGAACGGCAGCACGGGAGCAAUCCUGGUGGCGAGUGGCGAACGGGUGAGUAAUAUAUCGGAACGUGCCCAGUCGUGGGGAUAACGUAGCGAAAGCUACGCUAAUACCGCAUACGAUCUAUGGAUGGAAAGCGGGGGAUCGCAAGACCUCGCGCGAUUGGAGCGGCCGAUAUCAGAUUAGGUAGUUGGUGAGGUAAGGCUCACCAAGCCGACGAUCUGUAGCUGGUCUGAGAGGACGACCAGCCACGACUGGGACUGAGA
rnacentral:rRNA from 1 species